AUUGAACGCUGGCGGAAUGCUUUACACAUGCAAGUCGAACGGCAGCACGGACUUCGGUCUGGUGGCGAGUGGCGAACGGGUGAGUAAUGUAACGGAACGUGCCCAGUCGUGGGGGAUAACGUAGUGAAAAUUACGCUAAUACCGCAUACGAUCUAUGGAUGAAAGCGGGGGAUCGCAAGACCUCGCGCGAUUGGAGCGGCCGAUAUCAGAUUAGGUAGUUGGUGGGGUAAAGGCCCACCAAGCCAACGAUCUGUAGCUGGUCUGAGAGGACGACCAGACACACUGGAACUGAGACACGGUCCAGACGCCUACGGGAGGCAGCAGUGGGGAAUUUUGGACAAUGGGCGAAAGCCUGAUCCAGCCAUUCCGCGUGCAGGAUGAAGGCCCUCGGGUUGUAAACUGCUUUUGUACAGAACGAAAAGGUUUCUACUAAUACUAGGAGCUCAUGACGGUACUGUAAGAAUAAGCACCGGCUAACUACGUGCCAGCCGCCGCCGUAA
rnacentral:rRNA from 1 species